AAGCCACUGAGCCAAGCACACACAGAAACCCAGGGACAGUGACUUCCCAGUAGUCACUGCAGAACCGGGGGUUCUCCUCCAGCUCCCUGGCUGGGAGCUGGUGAGGUCAGGCUUGGGGAACGUCUGUGCAACCGCAAGGCAGGAGUUAAUGACUGAGGAGCUUGGAAUGUGGUGGUUCUGAAAGGGCCUCUUGUGGCCCCACGGUUAGAGCAGGAAGGGACUUUCAAGUCACGUACACACACUGCACUGGAGUCCUGGGCCCUGCUCUGCUGCUACAGUGUGAGGAGAAGGCAGGGUAAUCUCUUUUGUAGCAGGAGGAUGUAUGCAGUCAGGUUGGACCCAGCACUCUGGCAUCACAGGCGUUCACUACCACCACCACCACUACCACACCUGUUUCUGUGACGUUAUCGUAUGUAUAUCUCCAGCAAUCCUGAGACGUAGUUAUCACUAUGUCUCCAUUUCACAAACGAGGAAACAGGAGCUCAGAGAGAUUGGGUGAGUCAUCCAGGACAUGCAGUGGAUGGUCAGCCUGUCCAGAAUUCAAACCCAGAACCCAGAGCUUUCUGAGUCCACCAUUCUAUCAGAGGCCUUGACACCAGUUGAAACGGGGUGUGGUAGCACAUGCCUGUAAUAUCUGCCCUCCACUCCGGAGGUGAAGGCAAACACCAGCAGUUCUAGGCUAUCCUAAGACACAGAAGGUAAAGACCAACCUGGGCUACCUGAG
rnacentral:lncRNA from 1 species